rnacentral:rRNA from 1 species
UGGGGAAUAUUGGACAAUGGGCGCAAGCCUGAUCCAGCCAUGCCGCGUGUGUGAAGAAGGCCUUUUGGUUGUAAAGCACUUUAAGCGAGGAGGAGGCUACUUGGAUUAAUACUCUAGGAUAGUGGACGUUACUCGCAGAAUAAGCACCGGCUAACUCUGUGCCAGCAGCCGCGGUAAUACAGAGGGUGCGAGCGUUAAUCGGAUUUACUGGGCGUAAAGCGUGCGUAGGCGGCUUUUUAAGUCGGAUGUGAAAUCCCUGAGCUUAACUUAGGAAUUGCAUUCGAUACUGGGAAGCUAGAGUAUGGGAGAGGAUGGUAGAAUUCCAGGUGUAGCGGUGAAAUGCGUAGAGAUCUGGAGGAAUACCGAUGGCGAAGGCAGCCAUCUGGCCUAAUACUGACGCUGAGGUACGAAAGCAUGGGGAGCAAACA